rnacentral:rRNA from 1 species
CCUACGGGUUGCACCAGUAGGGAAUAUUGCGCAAUGGGGGAAACCCUGACGCAGCAACGCCGCGUGAGUGAGGAAGGUCUUCGGAUUGUAAAACUCUUUUAUUUGGGAAAAUGAUAUUACGGUUAAUACCCGUAGUAAGUGAUGGUACCAAAGGAAUAAGCACCGGCUAACUUCGUGCCAGCAGCCGCGGUAAUACGAAGGGUGCAAGCGUUGUUCGGAAUCAUUGGGCGUAAAGCGCGCGCAGGCGGAUCAGUAAGUCAGGUGUGAAAUCUCGGAGCUCAACUCCGAAACUGCGCCUGAAACUACUAGUCUAGAAUGUCGGAGGGGGCAGGGGAAUUUCACGUGUAGGGGUAAAAUCCGUAGAGAUGUGAAGGAACACCGGAGGCGAAGGCGCCUGCCUGGACGACUAUUGACGCUGAGGCGCGAAAGCGUGGGGAGCAAACAGGAUUAGAUACCCUUGUAGUC